GUUAGGAAUCUUCCACAAUGGGGGCAACCCUGAUGGAGCAACACCGCGUGCUGGAUGAAGGCCUUCGGGUCGUAAACAGCUUUUGUAUACGAAGAAUAUGACGGUAAUAUACGAAUAAGGGUCGGCUAACUACGUGCCAGCAGCCGCGGUCAUACGUAGGACCCAAGCGUUAUCCGGAGUGACUGGGCGUAAAGCGUUGCGUAGGCGGCUUAUUAAGCGAGUAGUGAAAUCUGGUGGCUCAACCAUCAACACAUUGCUCGAACUGAUAGGCUUGAGAAUGGUAGAGGUAGUUGGAAUUUCUUGUGUAGGAGUGAAAUCCGUAGAUAUAAGAAGGAACACCAAUGGCGUAGGCAGACUACUGGACCAUUUCUGACGCUGAGGCACGAAAGCGUGGGGAGCGAACCGGAUUAGAAACCCUUGUAGUCC
rnacentral:rRNA from 1 species